AACGAACGCUGGCGGCAUGCCUAACACAUGCAAGUCGAACGAAGGCUUCGGCCUUAGUGGCGCACGGGUGCGUAACGCGUGGGAAUCUGCCCUUGGGUACGGAAUAACAGUGAGAAAUUGCUGCUAAUACCGUAUGAUGACGUAAGUCCAAAGAUUUAUCGCCCAAGGAUGAGCCCGCGUAGGAUUAGGUAGUUGGUGGGGUAAAGGCCCACCAAGCCGACGAUCCUUAGCUGGUCUGAGAGGAUGAUCAGCCACACUGGGACUGAGACACGGCCCAGACUCCUACGGGAGGCAGCAGUGGGGAAUAUUGGAAAAUGGGCGAAAGCCUGAUCAAGCAAUGCCGCGUGAGUGAUGAAGGCCCUAGGGUUGUAAAGCUCUUUUACCCGGGAAGAUAAUGACUGUACCGGGAGAAUAAGCCCCGGCUAACUCCGUGCCAGCCGCCGCCGUAAUAC
rnacentral:rRNA from 1 species